UGGACUUGAAAUAUAUCAGACCGUCCGUGAAAGCGGAUUUCUGCUUGCAGCUGUUAUAC
rnacentral:rRNA from 1 species